AGCUGGAGAGGAGAUGGGUGCCACCAAGUUACUUUGCCUAAAGAAUCACUGAAGAUGCAAAGCAACUCAGCUAACCUCAUAUGGAGUGGAGGAUUAUCAUUAUAGAAUCUAA